rnacentral:rRNA from 1 species
UUCACGGAGAGUUUGAUCCUGGCUCAGGACGAACGCUGGCGGCGUGCUUAACACAUGCAAGUGGAGCGACGAACCAGGGCUUGCCCUGGGGCAGAGCCGCGAACGGGUGAGUAACACGUGGGUUACCUGCCUUGAUGACCGGGACAACCCGAGGAAACUCGGGCUAAUACCGGAUGUGCCCGCAAGGGGAAAGGAAGCUUCGGCCUCCGCAUCAAGAUGGGCCCGCGGCCCAUUAGCUUGUUGGUGAGGUAACGGCUCACCAAGGCUUCGAUGGGUAGCUGGUCUGAGAGGACGAUCAGCCACACUGGGACUGAGACACGGCCCAGACUCCUACGGGAGGCAGCAGUGGGGAAUCUUGCGCAAUGCGCGAAAGCGUGACGCAGCAACGCCGCGUGGGGGAAGA